rnacentral:lncRNA from 1 species
CCUGUUUGUAAGUGUACUAUUAGAGAGUCAUAUGGCUCUGGAAAGUUUCAAGACUGCUGUCUGGGACUUUUUGCACUUCAGGGACAUUUCUUGCAGACAUUAAAUCCCUGCUUGAUUCCUGAUCAUUAAAUAUCAGCUAAAGUCCAGGAGUGGAGGAGAACUCCAGGCUUGAAACCAGCAAAACUACAGAAAGUGAGCUGCUACCUCAUUAUGAUCAUAGAGUCAAUAAAGUCACCUGAUGGCAGAUUUAGAGGAACUCAUUAGGAGAUGGAAUUUGGUUGUGCAGACAAGCUGCUGUGAUUCUGGAACCAGGCCCUUUCAUUAAAGGUCUUCAAAUAGGUACAAGGCAGAGGGAGGGGAAGCCUGCAGGGCACUUCAGCUGAGGAGCAUGGCAGUAAGGAUUCUAUAUGCGUCUAGCCUUCUGAGUUGCAUAGCAAAGGAGGCUAUUUGUGGGAAAUGCAUCUGGGAAUUGGAUAUCCACAAGAAUUUGCCCUGAAGAUCUGCUUUGAAGACCUAAGCACAGGCAGUCAAGGGACAAAAGUAUAGACAAAUAAGACGUGCUAAUGGAAGCAGCUCAGUUUUCAUCACAGGUUUCUAAAGCAGGACAUUUGAAAAGAAAACUACAUCUUUUGACAGAGGAAGAAAGAAAAUAAAGUUUUGAAGGCAUAUGUGUUUCUGGGCUUGCACUGACCUACUUCAAAGGUAGAAUACCAUUGGAGACUGCAGAACCAUAAAUAAACUUCUUGAAACAGAACGAUGUACAAGAACAACUCAAGACUGAAACAAGCUCUCUCUGAUUGCCGGAUAGUAUUUGACAGAAGCGGAUUGUCCUCCAUAGACUGAUUUUACUGCACUCCUGAAUGCAAGAGCCUCAGCCAUUUAAUCCUUACCAAAGACACGGAAAUGCUUGCAGACUUCUGAAGAAGAUAUUUGUUUAUCUGUGUUGUUUAUUGAUCUACUGUCUGGCUAAUACACCACUUGAGAAGAUUCUGAGCCAAAUGUACCGCUAAUGUAAGCAGCAAAUGCAAUGACAUCGAAAUCGGUUGUGAGUCUGGCCCUCUGAGUUUACUCAUGAAAAAACAUUAACUUUACAAUGACCGGUCAAAACAUAUACAUUUAUUUUAGUUCAAGCCUCUCACUGAAACCAGAUUUACACUGAGAUAAUUUCAGUGAGUUCAGCAGAAUUGCUCUGAAUGUGCUCUAGGGUGAUGAAAACCAAGCAUACCUGUUUUUAAAGAGUUCCUCCUAAACUCCAACACGUCAGAGAAUAAAAAAAUGUUCUCCUUUUUUUUUUUUUUUUUU